rnacentral:rRNA from 1 species
UGCAGUCGAGCGGUAGCACAGAGGAGCUUGCUCCUUGGGUGACGAGCGGCGGACGGGUGAGUAAUGUCUGGGAAACUGCCUGAUGGAGGGGGAUAACUACUGGAAACGGUAGCUAAUACCGCAUAACCUCGCAAGAGCAAAGAGGGGGACCUUAGGGCCUCUCGCCAUCAGAUGUGCCCAGAUGGGAUUAGCUAGUAGGUGAGGUAAUGGCUCACCUAGGCGACGAUCCCUAGCUGGUCUGAGAGGAUGACCAGCCACACUGGAACUGAGACACGGUCCAGACUCCUACGGGAGGCAGCAGUGGGGAAUAUUGCACAAUGGGCGCAAGCCUGAUGCAGCCAUGCCGCGUGUGUGAAGAAGGCCUUCGGGUUGUAAAGCACUUUCAGCGAGGAGGAAGGCGGUAAGGUUAAUAACCUUAUCGAUUGACGUUACUCGCAGAAGAAGCACCGGCUAACUCCGUGCCAGCAGCCGCGGUAAUACGGAGGGUGCAAGCGUUAAUCGGAAUGACUGGGCGUAAAGCGCACGCAGGCGGUCUGUUAAGUUGGAUGUGAAAUCCCCGGGCUUAACCUGGGAACUGCAUUCAAAACUGACAGGCUAGAGUCUUGUAGAGGGGGGUAGAAUUCCAGGUGUAGCGGUGAAAUGCGUAGA